AUAACCAUAGUUUAUUUGCUCUUAUUGGAAUAUAUUACAAGAGUGAAAAAUCUGUUAUGAGUUUUUAAUUCUCAAACUGAAUAUUUGAAUUUCAAGGAUGAAGAAGAUGAUGAUGACUAUGUUGAAGAAGGAGAAGAGGAGGAAGAAGAAGAAGAAGAAAGUCUUCGAGGGGAGAAGAGGAAACGAGAUGCUGAAGAUGAUGGAGAGGAAGAAGACGACUAGAUCAUUCUAAGACCAGAUUCUCUAAUGUUUCUGGGUGUGCAAUAGAGUGAUCACGUCUUUGUUUCUUCAUGUACGAUAGCUAUCCCUACAGAAGAUAAUGUGUAACUUUUUAUAGGAAAAGUGUGGUUUUACUAUUUUUGCCUUAUCAUUCCAAAUAAGAACUAGUCUGUUAAUGAUCAUAUUGUAUGUAGAGAAAAAUUUUCAUUAACUACCAUUGUGGAAUUCCCUAGCAAUUUAUUUAGACUCUUAAUUUUUAAAAUUCAAGCUUACUGUAUUAGGCAUUUUUAGCUCAUAAUUAAAACAUGAUCACUUUUACA